rnacentral:rRNA from 1 species
UACGGAGGGGUUAGCGUUGUUCGGAAUUACUGGGCGGUAAAGACGCGCGUAGGUGGUUUGUUAAGUUGAAUGUGAAAGACCCCCGGGCCGUCAACCUAGGGAACGUGCAUCCAAAAACUAGGCAAGCUAGAGUAUGGCAGAGGGUGGUGGAAUUUCCUGUGUAGCGGUGAAAUGCGUAGAUAUAGGAAGGAACACCAGUGGCGAAGGCGACCACCUGGGCUAAUACUGACACUGAGGUGCGAAAGCGUGGGGAGCAAACAGGAUUAGAUACCCCGGUAGU